UUUUAAUGGUUCGCAUUUCUGCUUCGUAUUCGGGAGGUCUUGGGUUAAAGUCUGGACCCGGAGACCGGCUAUCCUGACUCGGAUUUUUUGUGAUUUUUCUCAGUCCUUCCAUGCAAGUGGCAGGAUAGUACUUUCAAAUUGUGCCUUGACCAUUUCCCUUUCUAACACACUGUUCACUGUCAUCCUCAGGAUGUAGUCUGAUAUACUGAAAAAGCGCCUUCAAAUGGCACUGCAAUGUAGAAUAGAGCCUUUUUGCUACUUUGAGAACAUCAGGUAACUUCAUACUGUUAUAUUUUAUUCGAUAUAAUCUAUUAUAAACUUCACAGUUUGUUCACUUCUCCAUAUGCUCCUAGGGUUGACCAAAUGAAGGUCAUGUAGUAUGAAUACGGAAGGUCAAGUAAUCUGUAGUAAAUUUUAGUUGGGGAAAAUUUAAAGAAUAGAACACCUGAGAGAGAGGCAGUGAUAGAAUGAUAAUAGUAAGGUUAGGUGUCAUUAAAUAUGCUGCAAAGCUGUAAUUAUCUUAUUGAUUUUCUAGGAAUGUGUUUUGAAUAUGUAAAGUUCACCCAUAAGGAUAUUUGUGGAUUUCACAUUUUUUUACCAUGUUUUGGUCUGUGGAUAUGAAAUCACUUCUGAGAGUAUGUUUUGUUAUUGGUUCAGCAAGUACCUUUCCAGUGUGCUUAUGUAAUGCUCCAUAGUAAACCCCCUUAUCACUUCAGUUUGUGAGCAACUAUAAUUUUGUGUUACUUAUUCACUGUUAUUUUAUGGAAGCGGUCUGACUGACCAGACUUCGGUAGUAACAUUAUUGGUGGUGUCCAUGAUACAGAAUUUUUAAAGGAGAAAGGAAAAAGAAAAGGAUCUUCAAAUGACUAGAUGGUGAUAUAGGAAGUGGCACAGACAGUCUCUUCCAUCAUAAUUGGAGUGAUGUGAUAAGUGAGGUAACAGAUAUUUAUGCAUAUUCUUGACUUUUCGAGCACAGCGAAUGUCGACAGGAAUACAGGAUUAAUUGUUUCAUUCCUGAAAUUCAGCUACAAAGACACCUUAUUGAAGUAGGACCAUGAACAAACAGCCAUCACCCAUGGAAGGAAGUGGGGAAUGAUAGAACGCACCCCUCUUUGGCCAGGACUUCAGUGACAGAGCACGUGACUGUCUGCUGUUUUCUGUUGGUCAUGUCUCAGACAAGGACACUGUCUUGAGUCUUCUUCCAGCACAUGACAUUGCCACAUUUCUUGACUCUAAGUAAGAACUUUUGAUGUCAAAAUGGUUGCCAGGUGUAGUUUUAUCCUAAAAGUAUUUGGUUUUAGUGUGUGGACACCAUGUGCUCUUUUCUGAAGCCCCGCAUUUAUGUUUAUAAUGUUGAAUGUGGAAUCUGUUUAUAUAUAUUCUGUGUCUUGUCUUGCAUUUUUAUUUCACAUAAGAAAUAAACCCAUUGGAAUUUGUUGUAAUGUGUCCUUUGCACAACGUGCAUAGUAAGAACAAAUUUUGUUUUUUUAAUGUUCUCCAUUGUUACUAUGGUAAUCGUGGUUCCUACUGAUUUAAGUAGGAAUUAUCAGGAGUGUUUGUGUAUAUGAAGAUUGUUUUUUGUUGUGACAGGUUAGUUAGAACAUAUAUGACACGUUAGAGUAGGCUGUCAGAUCCAUUUGGGUAAGUGAAGUUAUGUUAGGUUAUAUUUCUUUAAUUUCGGUUAAGUAAAUUUUAGGUUGGGAAAGGUUUAUAAAAGUUUAUUUUAAAUGUUGGAAUUUAUAAUGUAUACACUAUAAGAC